rnacentral:lncRNA from 10 species
GCUGUUCGUGUGUUCGAGUCCCUGGGUUGCUUCCUGGGGUCUGUGGUGCUGGGUGUGCUAUCUGCGUGUGAUUCUCUAGCGAGAGAUUGUGGGCGAGUGACCGAGUGGGCAAGGGGCCGUCACUGUGUGUGCGUGAUUUUGACAGUGUGUGGUGGUAGCUUCUGACUCCGCGUGGGUCGUUGAAUGUAUGACUGGGACCGUUUAGCGGUGGAUACACAACUGUGUGCGGCUGUGGAAGAUUGCCUCAUCCGUUACGUUCCCAUUUCCGUGGAACAACAGUUUUACCAGAAGGUUUCGAAGGAACCUUAAAGUUUGGAAGCGUAAGAGUUUAUCUGGUAACUAAUUUUAAACAUUACAUCUAUGGUGAGUUAAAUGUGGGUUAUGAAGGAGAACGCAAAAUAAAAACGUUAUAAAGAUGUAAAGGAGUUUUAUGGGGCGGCAUCUCUUGGGCAAAUAUCAGACCGCCGUAGGUAGUUGUUAAUUCUCUCUUGUUUUUAGGCGGCUUUGGUGUCAUCAAAUGUGAGAAGCCCUGGACUUUACACAUCCCGAGCCAGUGUGAUCCAGUAUGAUUGGGAGUCCGAGUGCCAGAUGCCGGUCAGGACCUGUUAUGCUGGGUCUCAGAAUGCGGAAACUCUCCCUGUCCGAGGUGGAACAGUUUGUCCUUGAGUGAGGACUGGAGUCCUGAGUGACUCUUUUGAUUUGAUCCUGUUUCCCUCAAACCUGGGAUGGGAGCCUCACUGUAUUGCCCAGGCUGGUCUUGAACUCCGGAGCUCAAGUGAUCGUCUUGCUUCAGCCUUGCAAAAUGAUGGUGAAGCUGCAUCAUUGUCUGGGGUAAAUACCUGAGGUUCGUUGUCUCACGCCAAGGGAAUCAAGGACGUGGACACACAAGAAGUGAGUUUAAGAGCGGAGGUUUAAUAGGCGAAAGAGAAAAGAGAAUAGCUCUAGCUCCUGCAGAGAGAAAAGGGCUCCCAAGUAGGACUUCCAGUCCGUGGCGAAGGGCACGGGGUUUAUAGACUGGCUUCAGGAGGUGGUGUCUGAUUUACGUAGGCCCCAAAGAUUGGUUGGACCAGGUGUGCCAAUCAGAAGCUGGCUGCCCCACCCUAAUCUUUUAUUAUGCAGAUGGAGUCCCUGUCUGACCGGGCCAUGUUGUAUGUUCCUUGCUGUACACGUGGUUGACAAAGAAAAGGGAAGAUGGAGCUGCGAUGUUGGACAUGCCUGGCCCCCAGGUAGCUUUUUCCUAUUGGCACAGCUGCUGGCAUUCACCCGUGCAAACUUCCAGCUUGCUUAUCUAUGUCUGCAGCUUGAUUUUUCAGGCUGCUGUUUGUUAGAAAAGAAAUGACUUGGGGGCUGCUUUUCAUUAAAAGGAAAACCUUACCGGGGAUUUCCUUACCCUCACUAUCUGCCUAAAUAAUUUCUUUUUAACUCCUAUGUCACUUGGGAUUACAGGCAUGAGCCGCUGUGCCUGCUAGAGGGUUUUUUAUCUUUAUUCCUCAAGAUUUUGCAUUUAGAUAAUUAUGUUAAACUUGGGUGUGCUAGGUAGACAUACGUCUGCUGAUUACCUGUUUAGGAAGAAUGUGGAUUCGUACGUAGGGAAAAGGAGUCAGGCUGGUGGGACCAGGGGAAAGCAAAGAGAUAAAGCAAAUAAGCUAUAGAUCUGCAUUUUCUUCAUGGUCCAGGAUAUAUAAACAAAAAAAGGAAGCAGAUAAGCUAUAGGCUUGCUUUUCUUUAUGACCCAGGACAUACAGCCCUGCCGAGCAAAUAAUGAACGUAACUCACAAACUUCCUGCUUAUCAUCAAACGCACGCAUCCACUUAUCAUCAAACACCUCGGGUGACAGAAGAAUGCAGGUCAGCUCCCUGCUGCCUUGGCAUUAUCAAUCAGCCCAGGAACCAUCCUAUAAAAUCUCCAGCAAGCCUUUGUUUCCUUGCAGUCAGCUCCUCUUCCACUGAUUCUGCCUGUUGCUCCCUGAUAACAUACUUUGAUACUGUCUUUAAUAAAUCUGCCUUUCUUCACCCA